ensembl:ncRNA C36F7.23 ncRNA
CUAAUCGUUUAAUUAUAACACUGGUGCCACAUAUCCAGACAACAUGAACCUUUCCUACCAUCUAUCGAUAUCCCCAUAGGUGCCGCCUGCUAAUUAAGCAGAUUUGUGCCGCGUGUAUGUGCACACACGUAGACUGGACAGGUAAUACAGUCUCGAUUACAGACAGGUGUUGACCCUUUUCCGCACCCACAUUUUGAAGCAUACAAAUAUUGAAAAGAG